rnacentral:sRNA from 1 species
GGUGCUAUCCUAUCUGAGCUUUCCCUCCUCCUCCCUGUAACCCCUUCUCCUCUACUACUACCCUUAUCCUUCUUCAUGCCUCUUUCCCCCGCUCUGCCGCGACGUCUCCGGAGUGCUCAUCUUCUUGACCUUGUAAGACCUUUUCUUGGCCUUGUAAGACCCCACCCCGUCGUCGUCGCCUCAAUCCUUUGCCCCUUUUCGCCCUUCGCCAUGCCCGGUUCCCGUCGGGACCACGGCCCCUUCCCUCCCUCCUCCUCACCCGGCCCGCAUUUUCUUCUACUGUCUAUCCCUCCUGAGCUA